rnacentral:lncRNA from 1 species
GGGGUUCUGGGCGUGCGAUCGAGAGCAGGAACCAAAGGAAGAGCCAAAACCCUAAUGACCAAAAAUCAUCAAAUUGAAGAGGAGACCAAGGGCAAAUCGAAUGCAUGGGUUUAGAUACUCUUUAAUCUAAGUGUAUUGAUCAUAAGAGCUUGUACAAUGUGUGUAGCAAGGCUUGGAAGACAACAUGGAAAACAAGUGGAAAUGGUGACGACUUUCUUACGGGCUAAGGUAAGUGAUCUCGAUUCACUUAUUAGUAUGUAUAUAGAAUUUUGAUAUUUAUGAAUGUGGGGAAAUCAUGUAUGGUUGUGUAAUAAAAGAGAGAAUUAAGAUGAGUAUUUUUUUUUGUUAGACGAAGGUAGUUACCUAAGAUGAAGGUAAAUUGGUGGGAUUAAACGGGUCGAAUAAAUGUGCAUAGGUAAUGAAGCAAUAUGUAAAUUCGUAAAGACUAAGGACCCGGGGUAAGGUUCUUAGUCAAUUAUGAAAGGGAAAAAUUAUUACGGAUAAUUAGAAUCAUGUCUCAAGUGUUUCGGACGUGAAUUGGUUAAGAUAUAAUAGUUUUAGAAAUUAAAAUAAAAACUGAACUGGGCAUUACCGUAGCUUACGGUAGCCACCGUAAGCUACGGUAGGUACUGAAGACUUUAUGGCCACCGUAAGACAGUAGAAUGUCACCGUAAAGAUUUUAUGGCCACCGUAAGCUACGGUAGCCACCGUAGCUUACGGUGGAGCUGUCGCGCCCCGCAUAAUAGUAAGGCAAGGCUUGCGCGGCCGCGAGAGACCGUGUUGUUGGCAUUUUGCUGAAUUUUUGAUAUUCUGAGCAUGGGAUUGACUAAAAAGGGUUGUCCAAGGCCCCAUAACUUAUGUUAAAAAUGGUUCGAAUAUAAAUAAAGUUAAAGGUCAUCGGUUAGUGAAUGAGCGGAUUGUUUCAUGUUAGUGUAAGAAAUUUUAUAAGCAUAUAUGAAUAGGAAUCUAGAAUGCACUUAGGUCGAUUUGUAUAUUGCCUAUACCUUGUAAGGUUAUGAACAUGACAUUUCGGCAAAAAAUCUAUAUGUAAGAAGUGGUAAACAGGAACUCGUGUUUAUAACCGUGAAUGAUUGUUUGUGCGUAGGAAGGGAUACAGGCGUGCAUGAAGGUACGUAUGUAUAUAUGUAUAUAUGAUAUUAAGUGCGUAAGUGUGAAUGUAUGGGUGAAUGAAUGUACAAUGCUAUAGACAUAUGUAUGAAUGUUAUUAAGGCGCUUGAGUAUUUACGAUUACUAAUGAUGUGCUUCGAGUUGGAAUGUAAUGCAGGUAUGAGAUUGUCGGGUUCAUGAAGGAAUGAAACCGGGUCUGGAUAAUGAGUAAUUAAGAAAGCGCUUGGGCAAUUACACGUCUACUUCAAGAAUGCUUUACGAAUUUCUAUUGUAUAGUUAAUGUUGCAUGUUGUGUUAAUGACUAACGGUUGAGUUGUACGUGGUGUCCACAGGUAUCGCUCGGGCUUCCUCUACCAUUAACAAAGUGAAGCGGACUUAGUUCGAGUUGAGAGCAAGGAUUGUACGGGGUAGAACGGUCACAUAGUUUGAUCUAUACAGGUCUUAAAGUAUUAAUAUAAUGGAACGUGGUAAAUCUUUUUUUUUUAGAAUGUAUGAAUCCUUGUAUUUGAACCUUCUUGUAAGUAUUAUAUCUUUUAAAGAACGAAUUUUUGG